rnacentral:rRNA from 1 species
AGAGUUUGAUCAUGGCUCAGAACGAACGCUGGCGGCGUGGAUAAGACAUGCAAGUCGAGCGGGAUUUCUUUCUGUAGCAAUACAGAGAGAAGUCCAGCGGCGAACGGGUGCGUAACACGUGGGCAAUCUGUCUUAAAGUGGGGGAUAGCUCGGCGAAAGCCGAAUUAAUACCGCAUGUGAUCAGGGAAGACAUCUUUCCAAAAUCAAAGGUGGCGCAAGCUACCGCUUUUUGAGGGGCCCGCGGCCUAUCAGCUUGUUGGUGAGGUAACGGCUCACCAAGGCUAUGACGGGUAGCUGGUCUGAGAGGACGACCAGUCACACUGGGACUGAGACACGGCCCAGACACCUACGGGUGGCAGCAGUCGAGAAUUUUUGACAAUGGGGGAAACCCUGAUCGAGCGACGCCGCGUGGAGGAUGAAGGUCUUCGGGUUGUAAACUCCUGUCAUUUGGGAACAAGGUGCACACGUUAACUGCGUGUGCAUUGAUAGUACCAGAAGAGGAAGAGACGGCUAACUCUGUGCCAGCAGCCGCGGUAAUACAGAGGUCUCAAGCGUUGUUCGGAUUCAUUGGGCGUAAAGGGUGUGUAGGUGGCGCCGUAAGUCGGGUGUGAAAUUUCGGAGCUUAACUCCGAAACUGCAUUCGAUACUGCGGUGCUUGAGGACUGGAGAGGAGACUGGAAUUUACGGUGUAGCAGUGAAAUGCGUAGAUAUCGUAAGGAAGACCAGUGGCGAAGGCGGGUCUCUGGACAGUUCCUGACACUGAGACACGAAGGCCAGGGGAGCAAACGGGAUUAGAUACCCCAGUAGUCC